GAGGAGCCCGCGGCGGAUUAGCUUGUUGGUGGGGUAACGGCCUACCAAGGCGACGAUCCGUAGCUGGUCUGAGAGGACGAUCAGCCACACUGGGACUGAGACACGGCCCAGACUCCUACGGGAGGCAGCAGUGGGGAAUCUUGCGCAAUGGGCGAAAGCCCUGACGCAGCGACGCCGCGUGAGGGAAGAAGGCCUUCGGGUUGUAAACCUCUUUCAGGAGGGACGAAGCCACUCGGGUUAAUAGCCCAGAGGGUGACGGUACCUCCAGAAGAAGCCCCGGCUAACUACGUGCCAGCAGCCGCGGUAAUACGUAGGGGGCAAGCGUUGUCCGGAUUUAUUGGGCGUAAAGAGCGUGUAGGCGGCCAGGUAGGUCCGUUGUGAAAACUCGAGGCUCAACCUCGAGACGUCGAUGGAAACCAUCUGGCUAGAGUCCGGAAGAGGAGAGUGGAAUUCCUGGUGUAGCGGUGAAAUGCGCAGAUAUCAGGAAGAACACCCGUGGCGAAGGCGGCUCUCUGGGACGGUACUGACGCUGAGACGCGAAAGCGUGGGGAGCGAACAGGAUUAGAUACCCUGGUAGUCCACGCCGUAAACGAUGGGUGCUAGGUGU
rnacentral:rRNA from 1 species